rnacentral:sRNA from 1 species
ACUUCAGCCUGGGAUGUCCUUUACCUCCCCGUAGGCCUGGCGAGCUGCAUCACAAGAUUCAGCCUAGAGCCAUAUGGGAAACUUUCUUCUCCAGGUCGCCCUGCGUCCUCGCCUCCCCACCCCGUUCUUCUCGAGUCGGUACGAUGUCAGCUCGGCCGCGCAGCCCGGCUGCUCAGUCCUCGACGAGGCCUUCCAGCGCUAUCGUGACCUGCUUUUCGGUUCCGGGUCUUGGCCCCGUCCUUACCUCACAGGAAAACGGCAUACACUGGAGAAGAAUGUGUUGGUUGUCUCUGUAGUCACACCUGGAUGUAACCAGCUUCCUACUUUGGAGUCGGUGGAGAAUUAUACCCUGACCAUAAAUGAUGACCAGUGUUUACUCCUCUCUGAGACUGUCUGGGGAGCUCUCCGAGGAUGUCAUGGCGUACAAUAAAUUGAACGUGUUCCACUGGCAUCUGGUAGAUGAUCCUUCCUUCCCAUAUGAGAGCUUCACUUUUCCAGAGCUCAUGAGAAAGGGGUCCUACAACCCUGUCACCCACAUCUACACAGCACAGGAUGUGAAGGAGGUCAUUGAAUACGCACGGCU